UACGGAGGGGGCUAGCGUUAUUCGGAAUUAUUGGGCGUAAAGGGCGUGUAGGCGGCUUCGUAAGUCUCCUUGUGAAAGCCCUCGGCUCAACCGAGGAACUGCAUGGGAAACUGCGGAGCUUGAGUCCGGGAGAGGAGAGCGGAAUUCCCAGUGUAGCGGUGAAAUGCGUAGAUAUUGGGAGGAACACCGGUGGCGAAGGCGGCUCUCUGGACCGGUACUGACGCUGAGACGCGAAAGCUAGGGGAGCAAACGGG
rnacentral:rRNA from 1 species